rnacentral:rRNA from 1 species
UACGGAGGGGGCGAGCGUUGCUCGGAAUCACUGGGCGUAAAGGGUGCGUAGGCGGGUCUUUUAAGUCAGGGGUGAAAUCCUGGAGCUCAACUCCAGAACUGCCUUUGAUACUGAAGAUCUUGAGUUCGGGAGAGGUGAGUGGAACUGCGAGUGUAGAGGUGAAAUUCGUAGAUAUUCGCAAGAACACCAGUGGCGAAGGCGGCUCACUGGCCCGGUACUGACGCUGAGGCACGAAAGCGUGGGGAGCGAACGGG